GCCUAGGUGGCUCAGUUGGUUGAGCGUCUGACUUUGGCUCAGGUCAUGAUCUCACAGUUCCUGGGUU
rnacentral:tRNA from 1 species